rnacentral:tRNA from 1 species
UCCCUGGAGCCGGAUUUGAACCAGCGACCUAAGGACCGUUGUAACAUCUACAGUCCUCCGCUCUGCCAACUGAGCUAUCGAGGG